CGGAGCGUAGCGCAGCCAGGUAGCGCACUAGACUGGGGGUCUAGGGGUCGCGAGUUCGAAUCUCGCCGUUCCGA
rnacentral:tRNA from 1 species